AAACAUUGUACCACUUUAUUAGGUAGACCCGUUUAAUAUCUUGUUAACACAAAUAGCUAAUCACAUGGCAGCAACGCAACAAUUUAGACAUGUAGACGUGGUCAAGACAACUUGCUGAAAAUCAAACCGAGCAUCAGAAUGAGGAAGAAAGGGGAUGUAAGUGACUUUGUACAUGACAUGGUUGUUGGCACCAGACGGGCCAGUCUGAGGAUUUCAGAAAUUGCUGAUCUCCUGGGAUUUUCACGCACAACCAUCUCUAGGGUUUACAGAGAACGGUCUGGAUGAAAAUGCCUUGCUGAAGUUAGAGGAGAAUGGGCAGACUGGUUUGAGAUGACAAAGGCAACAGUAACUCAAAUAACUUCUGGUUACAACCAAGGUCUGCAGAAUACAUCUCUUACCCCACAACAUGUCUAACAUUGAAGCAGAUGGGCUACAGCAGCAAAAGACCACACCGGGGGCCACUUCUGUCAGCUAAGAACAGGAAACUGAGGCAACAAUUCACACGUGCUUCAGAGUGCAAAACUAUAAGUACAUACUGGGAAACCGUGUAGAACAUUUAUUAUGGCGCCGCCGGUGCCAUGACAGACGUUCUGUGCAGCCUGGACAGAGGUUACUGGAGCAGAUGGGAAGAUUCUAUGGAGAAAAGUCUUAGCCCCGGGAGAAAUCUUCAUGAUACCCAGGACAGAUGGAGAAGAAAAGCGAACGACUUUGAACAAAGAAGACGUCGCUUGUGAUUCACUUGGAGAAGACAUUACCUAUCGAGAAGAUCUUUCACCUUCUCUAUGACACAGAGAAAAACUUCACCAGUCCCAUCACCGGCCUAAGGAACAGUAAAGUACAGUUGUAAAACUGUAGUUGUGUUAGCAGAAGACUGCAUAAG